UACAGAGGUCUCGAGCGUUAGGCGGAAUCACUGGGCGUAAAGCGUGCGUAGGUGGUUCGUUAAGUCUGUCGUGAAAGCCCCGGGCUCAACCUGGGAAUGGCGAUGGAUACUGGCGAGCUAGAGUGCGGUAGAGGAGAGUGGAAUUCCCGGUGUAGCAGUGAAAUGCGUAGAGAUCGGGAGGAACAUCAGUUGCGAAGGCGGCUCUCUGGACCAGCACUGACACUGAGGCACGAAAGCGUGGGGAGCAAACAGG
rnacentral:rRNA from 1 species